rnacentral:rRNA from 1 species
AGAGUUUGAUUCUGGCUCAGAACGAACGUUGGCAGCGUGGAUUAGGCAUGCAAGUCGAACGGGAACCCAUGGAUUCAAUCUUUCGGGAAAGAAACAGUGGGGGAGAGUGGCGAAAGGGUAGUAACGCGUGUGCAACCUGCCUCUAAGUUGGGAAUAACUCGCCGAAAGGCGGGAUAAUGCCGAAUGUGGUCUCCUCACGCAUGUGAGGAUGAUUGAAGAUGGGGACCCUUUGGGGCCUGUCGCUUAGAGAGGGGCGCGCGUCCUAUCAGCUAGUUGGUGAGGUAAUGGCUCACCAAGGCUUACGGGUAGCUGGUCUGAGAGGAUGAUCAGCCACACUGGGACUGAGACACUGCCCAGACUCCUACGGGAGGCUGCAGUCGAGGAUCAUUCGCAAUGCGCGAAAGCGUGACGAUGCGACGCUGCGUGGAGGAUGACGGCCUUCGGGUUGUAAACUCCUGUCAUGAGGGAGUAAAGGCGCCGUGUUUAAUAGGCAUGGUGCUCUGAUAGUACCUCAAGAGGAAGUCACGGCUAACUCUGUGCCAGCAGCCGCGGUAAUACAGAGGUGGCGAACGUUGUUCGGAUUUACUGGGCGUAAAGGGUGCGUAGGUGGGUCCGUGUGUUGGAUGUGAAAUCUCACUGCUCAACAGUGAAACUGCAUUCGAAACUGCGGAUCUGGAGUUCAUGAGGGGAGAGCGGAAUUCUUGGUGUAGCGGCGAAAUGCGUUGAUAUCAAGAAGAACACCGGUGGCGAAGGCGGCUCUCUGGCAUGACACUGACACUGAUGCACGAAAGUUGGGGGAGCAAACAGGAUUAGAUACCCUGGUAGUCCCAACUGUAAACGGUGUACACUUGGUGUGGGGGGAUUUGACCCCUUCCGUGCCGGAGCUAACGCGUUAAGUGUACCGCCUGGGGAGUACGGCCGCAAGGUUAAAACUCAAAGAAAUUGACGGGGGCCCGCACAAGCGGAGGAGCAUGUGGCUUAAUUCGAUGCAACGCGAAGAACCUUACCAGGGCUUGACAUGUAGCUGCACGCCCCUUGAAAGGGGGGAAGCCUUCGAGGGUGCUACACAGGUGCUGCAUGGCUGUCGUCAGUUCGUGCCGUGAGGUGUUGGGUUAAGUCCCGCAACGAACGCAACCCUUGUGUCUAGUUGCUACCGGGUCAUGCCGGGCACUCUAGACAGACUGCCUGUACAAACAGGAGGAAGGUGGGGACGACGUCAAGUCAGUAUGGCCCCUACGCCCUGGGCUGCACACGUGCUACAAUGGUCGGUACAGUGGGAUGCGAGACCGCGAGGUGGAGCAAAUCCAUAAAACCGGCCUCAGUUCGGAUUGGAGUCUGCAACUCGACUCCAUGAAGUCGGAUUCGCUAGUAACGGCGCAUCAGCUACGGCGCCGUGUAUACGUUCCCGGGCCUUGUACACACCGCCCGUCACAUCAUGAAAGCCGUCUGCACCCGAAGUCGCUGCUCCAACCCGCAAGGGGGGAAGGCGCCGAAGGUGUGGGUGGUGAUUGGGAUGAAGUCGUAACAAGGUA